rnacentral:rRNA from 1 species
GGGAAACUUACCAGGUCCAGACAUAGUAAGGAUUGACAGAUUGAUAGCUCUUUACAGAUUCUAAGGGUGGUGGUGCAUGGCCGUUCUUAGUUGGUGGAGUGAUUUGUCUGGUUAAUUCCGUUAACGAACGAGACCUUAACCUGCUAAAUAGUGCUGAGUUUCUUUUCGAAACGAAGGUAUCUUCUUAGAGGGACGUCACGUGUCUAACGUGAGGAGGUGUGAGGCAAUAA